rnacentral:rRNA from 1 species
UUAGUUACCAGCACGUUAUGGUGGGCACUCUAAGGAGGACUGCCGGUGGACAAACCGGAGGAAGUGGGGAUGACGUCAAGUCAUCAUGGCCUUACGGCCUGGGCUACACACGUGCUACAAUGGUCGGUACAAAAGGGUUGCCAAGCCGCGAGGUGGAGCUAAUCCCAUAAAACCGAUCGUAGUCCGGAUCGCAGUCUGCAACUCGACUGCGUGAAGUCGGAAUCGCUAGUAAUCGUGAAUCAGAAUGUCACGGUGAAUACGUUCCCGGGCCUU